UUACGGUGAACACGAAUAAAAAAAAACCUCUUUCCUCUCUACCUUAUCCCCAAGCCGUCAAAGUUUUCUCGAGUCUGUUCAGCUCCGGCCACCGGCGGUGGCGCGCGUGGUCGCCGGAGGCAGCUUCCUCUCCUCUUCAUUUUUGUAAUUUGCUCUGGUUUGCCAUUUUUCCUUGUCAUUGUCGUUUUGCUCGGUUCUGUGGUUGGUGCUCCGGUUCGGUUUUUCUAGAUUUGCUCCGGGGAAGUUUAGAUCCGUGGCUUGGGGCUUCUGUUCUGGAGUUUCGGCACGGCGGUGAGGGUUCUUGGGCUGCCGGAGUCGGCUUUUAGGGUGAACGUUUCGGUGGAUCUAGGUUUUCUCCUUCUCGGUGUUUUCGAAGCUUUCCGUGUUGUUGGCAGGUGGGUCCGUCGACAUCUCUCUCCUCCAGUUCGGUAAGUGCUUUUUGCGAAGUAGUAUUCGUCGUGGAGAGGAGUCCUGGCUUUCUUCCUUUCCCUUGCUUGGCGUCUCGCAUCGGAAGGGGGUUCGAUCUUGGCUCAAGGGAGGUGAUAGAUUUCUUCUAUCGGUUCGUGCACAGAGGUCUGAUGGCUGUGUGGUUGUCGAGCUUCUGUGACUCCAUGUCUGCAACUUCUUCCCGGAUGGUUGGUUUGUCGUCUAUGGCUUUUUCAAACUUCUGGUUUGGUGGUUGCUCUCUCUUUGUUGUUGUGUCUUAUCUCUUGUGUCCAGGUUCUCUGCCUUCGGGGCAAGACGUCGAUUUGAAGCGUCAGUGUGUCAUCUGUCUCUCCUUCGGCGAUGGAGACUUGUUUCUACUUUGUUCAUCCAUGUGCAUGAGUUGCCAAUGGUGUGAUCAGGUAGAACUUUGUUGUUCUCUAUUUCAGGUUCUGGUGUUCGUUAUGGUUGGUGCCUCUUCGCAGCCUGUUUUGUUCGAAUAAGGUGUUCGGGUCUUCAGGUGUUUAGAAGGACAUAUGCGAGCUGUUUUUGGGGGAGUCUUAUCAUAAAGAGCGGAUCAUCGGGCAAACCAAUUUCUACCGGGUUAUGACUCUUGGUUUCACUGUGGCUUCUCCUUCUGCGGCUUCUCCUUCUGCGGCAAGCGGGUUGUUUCGACUAGGCGAGGCCAGUGGUAAGCUGUGUCUACUUGUUGUGUCGGCCCAAAUCAGUCUAAGUCGAGUCUUUAUUUAGUUGUACCUUUGUUUCAUCCGCUUCUCGUUUCUUUUGUAUUUCUGUCAAAAAUUGAAAAAUUGGUAUUAAUAUGUUAACAUUUUUACCAAAAAAAAUGAGAAAUUACUUAUAA